GCCGCAAUAGCUCAGCUGGCAGAGCAGCGCAUUCGUAAUGCGCAGGUCGGCGGUUCGAAUCCGCCUUGCGGCACCA
rnacentral:tRNA from 1 species